rfam:Triticum urartu cultivar G1812 contig1439239, whole genome shotgun sequence.
GCAAGUAGGGAAAAGAAAGUCAUGAGUAUCUCAGAGCGGUGGGCAUGGGAGUAUGGAGGAAAGCAUGAAAUUUCUUAGUCUAUAAAUUUGGGAGCCAUGGUGUUCAUGUGUUUUCCCUAUGCCUCCCAUGCCUAUUGUUCUUAGAUCUUCCUUUCUUUUCCAAUUAGCU